AUGUAGACUGGGAGAUCUUCUCAGAUGCUGCUCUAAAUAGGCCACGGUUCUCUCCAGUUUUCUCAAAGAAUUUGGUUCCUUUUCCUUGCCCACUGCAGGUCAUCUGAGCCGUGUGUUCAGAGGUGCCGAUCCUGAGAGCCCAGAAGCAAGAGCAGACUCUGCUGUGGCUCCCUCUGCUCCUGGA